AUUGAACGCUGGCGGCAUGCCUUACACAUGCAAGUCGAACGGCAGCACGGGAGCAAUCCUGGUGGCGAGUGGCGAACGGGUGAGUAAUAUAUCGGAACGUGCCCAGUCGUGGGGGAUAACGUAGCGAAAGCUACGCUAAUACCGCAUACGAUCUAUGGAUGAAAGCGGGGGAUCGCAAGACCUCGCGCGAUUGGAGCGGCCGAUAUCAGAUUAGGUAGUUGGUGAGGUAAAGGCUCACCAAGCCGACGAUCUGUAGCUGGUCUGAGAGGACGACCAGCCACACUGGGACUGAGACACGGCCCAGACUCCUACGGGAGGCAGCAGUGGGGGAAUUUUGGACAAUGGGCGGCAAGCCUGAUCCAGCAAUGCCGCCGUGCAGGAUGAAGG
rnacentral:rRNA from 1 species